GAUGAACGCUAGCGGAAGGCUUAAUACAUGCAAGUCGAGCGGUAGUCCCUUUCGGGGGAUGAGAGCGGCGCACGGGUGAGUAACGCGUACAUGACCUGCCUAUCAGAAGGGGAUAGCCCUGGGAAACUGGGAUUAAUACCCUAUGGCAUUGUAUUUUUAAAUGGAUACAAUUAAAGCUUAGGCGCUGAUAGAUGGAUGUGCGUCUGAUUAGCUAGUUGGUGGGGUAAAGGCCCACCAAGGCGACGAUCAGUAGGGGGCGUGAGAGCGUGGUCCCCCACACGGGUACUGAGACACGGACCCGACUCCUACGGGAGGCAGCAGUAAGGAAUAUUGGUCAAUGCCCGCAAGGGUGAACCAGCCAUUCCGCGUGGAGGAUGAAGGCCCUAUGGGUUGUAAACUUCUUUUAGAUGGGAAGAAAAUGCUUUGUUUACAAGGUACUGACGGUACCAUCAGAAUAAGCACCGGCUAACUCCGUGCCAGCAGCCGCGGUAA
rnacentral:rRNA from 1 species